GUGUGUACUCCAUCAUGGAACAAACUACACAGCAAAAGUUAACUUCACAGCUUUGGAAAACUCAGUAGCAGCAAAGACGGUUGUACAUGGAAUAAUUGGCGGUGUGCCCAGUGCCAUUUCCGGUCCCUUCAGACUGCUGCAACAACCACAACUUGAAAUGUCCCGUUACUUCCGGUGUAACUGACAUGUACACUAAUUAUGUUUACUGCAGUCCAUCAUACCCACAGUUACGACUGGCUGUGAAGUGGGAAGUCCAAGAUGAUAACGGCAAAGAUAUUUUCUGCUUUAUUGUUCCUUUAUCCAUACAGAAUUGACCAUAACAAUUGUUUAAUCAUCCAAUAUACAUGUAUGUAUCAGUCACUGUAUUGUUAAGUCUAUAUAGGUUUUUUAAGGUUGUGAUUGUUUCGUUAUACAUGUAGUUAUAUACAAUAAAAUAUUAUGUUUU